AGGACGUCGUCCGCCAUCGGUGACCUCGUUCAAGAACAUUCGCUGGACGUAAUCUUUUUCCAGGAGAUCACGCCGUACAUCCACUCGAUCUUCGAGAGUUUUGCAUGGUGGGAGGGCUACCACUGCUCACCAGUGCCCCCAGAAGGACAAUUCUGCCUGAUGCUGAGCAAGCUUCCAUUGGAGAGCUACGCGCGCUGGAAUUUCUGCACUUCGCCUACAGGCAAGUGCUACCUGGAGGCCGACAUUACCCCUCGGUCAAUGAAGCCAAUCCGCAUCGCCACGGCCCAGCUCGAGUGCCCCGAGCCGCCGGUGUCGAUGCACCUCCCGGAGCGGCACAUGCAGGCCAAGCAUGCUGUCUCCGCGCUGAACAGCGCAGACAACGUCGUGCUGGGCGGCGACAUGAGCUGGGAUGAUGACGCGGAUCUGCCAUUCCCUCUCCCCGCAGGCUGGUGCGACGCCUGGGCGGAACUGAAAUAUGAGACUGGGACUAAAAAAAGUUGGACUUACGAUAGUUUCUGGGUGGAAUAGCUAGGGGAGUUGAAUGGCCACAAAGUCCCUGACUCAUGGAUGAAGAAGCGGUCAGAUAGAUUUGUGUGCAAGCUACAAGACUACACACUGAUAACCAUCGGUCUGAUCGAUUGGAAUGCGUACAAGUUUCGCAGCCUCGACUGCCCGAGGAUAAUGCCAAGUUGUCACCGAGGGUUGGUUCUGACCAUCGUUCCCAAUGAGCAUUCGUAA
rnacentral:rRNA from 1 species